rnacentral:rRNA from 1 species
UAAUCACUUGUCUUUUAAAUGAAGACCUGUAUGAAUGGCAUAACGAGGGUUUAACUGUCUCCUUCCCCCAGUCAAUGAAAUUGAUCUGCCCGUGCAGAAGCGGACAUAAAAACAUAAGACGAGAAGACCCUAUGGAGCUUUAGGCCAAGGACCAAUCAUGUUAAGAGACUACAAAACCAAAAAGAACAAAAAAGUCAACAAACCAAAUGCAACCUCGUCCAAGUGCCUUCGGUUGGGGCGACCACGGGGAAAAAAGAAACCCCCACAUGGAAUGGAAAUUAUUUCCUUAAACCAAGAAAGACAAUUCUAAGCAACAGAACAUCUGACCAAUAUAUGACCCAGGAAAACACAUCCUGAUCAAUGAACCAAGUUACCCUAGGGAUAACAGCGCAAUCCUUUCCCAGAGCCCA